GCUGGGCGUGGUGGUGCAUGUCUGUAGUCCCAGCUACUUGGGAGGCUGAGGCAGGAGAAUCACUUGAACCCGGGAGGCAGGGGUUGCAGUGAGCUGAGAUCAUGCCACUGCACUUCCAGCCUGGGCUACAGAGCGAGACUCUGUCUCAA
rnacentral:SRP_RNA from 1 species